AAUGGAUAAAACAGAGCUGUGUUUUUGUUUCGAAACUUCCAGCUCAGCCUUCAGGCUAUCUUUUAAGCUUAAUGAACUGAGAAGCGGCGAGAUCGUUUGAUAGCUUCACGUCAUUUUCAGAGAGCGUCCAUCGAUCUGCGCCUUUUGAUGACUUCCAUGCUGGGCUAUUUUGCAUGAUGUUCUUCAAUACCAAGUUUCUGUGUGAACUUGCUUGCAAAGAAACGAAUAUUGUAAUAUAUUAUUAAUCCUAAUGGCAUUCUGCCCAAGGGCAUCCACUAGUGGGUUUCCUGUUGUAUUGAUACAAUGAGUGAGAUUAGGUUGUGUUUCCUGGCAUCAUGUAGAUAAUUUAAUGGCAUUAAUACUGGGAUAUUGACAAUGGCAUUACUGUCAGGGCCGGUAUAUUGACAAUGGUAUUACGUUCUCAGGGCUUGUAUAUUGACAAGGAUAUUGCAUUGUCAGGGCCAGUAUAUUGACAAGGGUAUAACGUUGUCAGGGCUUGUAUAUUGACAAGGGUAUUGCGUUGUCAGGGCUGGUAUAUUGACAAGGCUUUGCGUUGUCAGGGCUGGUAUAUUAAAGGGGUAUUGCGUUGUCA